rnacentral:rRNA from 1 species
UACGUAGGGUGCGAGCGUUGUCCGGAAUUAUUGGGCGUAAAGGGCUCGUAGGCGGUUUGUCGCGUCGGGAGUGAAAACCCAGGGCUUAACUCUGGGCUUGCUUUCGAUACGGGCAGACUAGAGGUAUGCAGGGGAGAACGGAAUUCCUGGUGUAGCGGUGAAAUGCGCAGAUAUCAGGAGGAACACCGGUGGCGAAGGCGGUUCUCUGGGCAUUACCUGACGCUGAGGUGCGAAAGCGUGGGGAGCAAACAGG